rnacentral:tRNA from 1 species
GGAGAGGUGACCGAGCUGGCCGAUGGUGCUCGCCUGCUAAGCGAGUGUGGGGGUCAAACUCCACCGAGGGUUCGAAUCCCUCCCUCUCCGCCA